AUUAAAAUCUCAGCUAGUCCUUCAAAUCUUCUUCAUCUGAGAGCUUCCAGCUCCUCAUCAGAUCCAUGUGACACAGCAGACCUGCAGCGGGAGCACGCCUCUUUAUUUUCCAGGCCGCUGACGCUCCCUGAGUCACUGAGGAUGAGGAAGGAGAGGAAGAGCGGUGCAGGGACAGACGGGCUCGAGGCACAUCGACAGCUCUGCAGCUCCACGUUUGUUCCUGAACAUGUUCACUCUGCUGGUCUCCUGUCACGUUUGGUUCCUGCUCUCAGGUCUGAUCGGCUGCACGGAAAACUCCACAGCGAUCUGGUUUUCAGUCCCUGAGAAUCACCACGUCUGUCUGCCCUGCGGCAGCUCUGGCAGCUCCGACGUGAUCUGGACUCUGCAGGAUCAGGAGGUCCUGGUGACCCGACGAGGCGGCUACAAGACCAACAAGGACCGCCAGCGCUACCUCCUCAUGGUUAAUGGCAGCCUCUGCAUCCUGCAUCUGGAGGAGUCGGAUCAUGGAGGAUACCGCUGUAACCAGCAGCUGGUGGCUGAGCUGCAGGUGCUGACAGGUCGGGACUACACGGUGUCCGCAGGCCGGACGCUGCUGCUCCCCUGCAGCGGCUCCUCCAAACCCAAACAGAGGUGGUUCCAGCAGAGGGAGGGCGAGAGGCGGGAGGCCGUCCUCACCAAGUACAGAAACGGUACGGUGAAACCAGAGAGGGGCGGCGGCCGGCUGAGCUUCACCAAUGACGCCCUGCAGAUCCAGGACCUGCAGCCAGAGGACGCUGGAGAGUACGUCUGCAACGGGGUGCUGCAGGCCAGAGUCACGGUCCUCACAGCACACGCAGAGACGAGCAGCCAGCCUCCGUCCACCAGCACAACUCCAUCACCUGCAGUCGUGACAGCAGAAGUGGAAGAAAUAAAGAAGAAGAGCAACACGAGACCUGAGAACGUUCUGCUGCUGGUUGCUGUCGUCAGUGUGGGCUUGAUGAUCAUCUUCUUAGCUGCUGUCUGUGUGUUGCUGACCAGCAUGAAGUGCAGGAGGAAGAAACGCAGAGCUGCAGGAUCCAGUAUUAGACUCAGCAUGUUUUCUGAAGAUCCUGUGCUCUUCAUCUCUUCAUCACCACCUCUGCGUGUAGCAGCACCGACACGUGACGACACGGAGCUGCAGCCGUGGACGACGUCCAGCGCACCGACAGAGGGUGAGGACUUAGAGACCCCGCCCCUCUGUGGGGAGACGAUCCACUACGCCUCUCUGGGCCGACAGAACUGGAGGGAGAGACCCAGCAGGAGUCCGCCGGAGCAGAGCCACCACAGCGUCAUCUACUCCUCCGUCAUCAGCAGACCUGCAGCGAGAGCUGAGCACAAACUCUGAAAGCUAAAGUCUGAAUGUACAGUCGUGUGACGGGAAGCUUUAAAAUCACAUCCCUGUGUGAAAGUGCAGCUUAGUUUCACUUUGGCCAAAAUACACCUGUAACACAAGCUGUUAAACUCCUGUCAGUCAGUUUGGUUUUCAUGUUUCACUUUCACUGUCUGCUUCAGGCAGCAGAGCUGGUUUCACAGAGACUUUACAUGUUACACCGAGGAGUCGUUUACACAUGUGGAGUGUCACAUCUGGACAGGCUGCCGUCUUUAUAAACAGAGGUCAGGACAGAUCGUGGUGUCAGAAUCAGUUUAUUAGUAAAAGACAAGCAAAGUGUGGAAUCUGUUCAUGGAAGCAGAGGAUGUCACACAGACUCAGAGCAGCACAGCAGACAGAUGUUUAAACACAGCAAGAAAACAAACUCACAGACAUGAAGAUUAAAAACUGACCCGAGGAAACUAUUCACACAUUUAUGGGUAAAUAUAGAUUUUCUUUAGUUCAGUAAUUGUUUUUUGAAAGUCUCCCUGCUGUGGCAGCAUUUACAUUUAUGGCUGUUACUUUAUUAUUAACAGGAAUGUUUUACAAACAUUUUAUUUUCAUUGCAACUUUCUGGAUAUUUAACAUUUAAAGGUUCUUAAACUCUCUGUUUUUCUGCUCACUGAAAAAUAAAUCUUCACUGUUUACACAAAAAACACAAAAAAAUAAACUAAAAUCUAGAUUUUGAAAUCUACUAAUCAAACAUUUUCACAGUUUUAUUAAUUUAAAAAAAUCAUUUACGCUCAUUUAAAGUGCUUCUAUCUGUGGUGAUGUGAUGCCUUUGAGUUCUUGCACGUGUUCACUGUUGAGUACAGGACCUUCUCUUCAGCCAAUCCGGUUCCUCUCCUGGUGGUGGGGCGGGGCUUGUCUGGAUGCUUCAGGCUGGAAUAAUGCAAAGACUCUUCCUGCAGAGAUACAAAGAGUAAAAAAUCUGAUUAAACUGCAGGUUUGCUGCCAAACUAACAUGAUGCUGUGAGGUCACUGCAUUUGGUUUCCCUGCACUUCGUCGUGCUCAGCACAGACCUGUGAAUCCUCUUCAGUUCAGCCUGUGCUGAAUAAAAAAGCUGCCAAAUAUUUAUGUACAUGUUUCAGUGACAUCACCUUUUCCUAUUUUACUGGCAAAACAUAAAGAAAUGAGGGUUGGCUCAAGACUUUUGCACAGUGCUGCGUGUGGAGCUUGUUUUUAGACUGCAGUAAUAAAACAGAAUAAAUGUUUGAAACUCACAGACUGAGAGAUUCACUCAUUUUAAUUAUUUGCUCGUAAAGUAGGAAACAUGAUUUUUAAAGACUGUUCGUGACCUUCCACUGACCUCUGUGACCCGGUGAUCGGCGUCCCGUCUCCGUGGGUUACAGCAGGAGCAAACAGGUUUACCUGCAGAAGAAACGAGACGUGGGACAGGUGAGGAAGACGAAGCUGACUCAGAGCGAGCGAUGUGACCGUGAGGACGUCAGAACAUGUGAUUGGCCCUGAUGUACGCCUACAUCAGAGCUCAGCACAGGCAGCAGCAUAAUUAACUCAUUAUUGAAUCAAUGAAGGGAUUUUAUCCUGUUCCACUUGUGUCACACAUGACCAGCUCCUGUAUUUUGAUUGGCUCCGGUUUAUCAAAUCGAACCAAGUGACUCCCUACUGACACCUACAGGUGACCCGCAGAGGUGACAGAGUUACAUGCGGGACUUCAUCCUCCAGCAUGACCCCCACCGUCAGCCUGUACUGUGCCAAAAUAAGACUCAACACAAGGGGGCGCUGUAGCUGCCUCCACAGCAAACAAUGACUUUUUGUCAUGAUAACGGAGAUAGAGAUAACUCUUUAUUACUAUGACAAUACAACAACUCAUGAUGAUGAGUUUCAGUGUAUACCCCCUCCAUCCUAAAACGAAAAAGGUGUGUUUGCCUUCAGUGAAACUGUAUGUUAAGCCCCGCCCCCGGCUGUGUGUAAGUGAAAGCGAAAGUUUGGGGAGCUGUCCGAGGGGCAGACGUCGAGCUUCUCUUCCGUCUCUGCUCGUUUUUCAGCUCGGUUCCGACCUUUGUGUCCUCAGAGGGGGGCAGAUAUUUGUCCUGUGAAGCCGGAGGACCCCGCCUGCUGUCCCGCCGUCCUCUCAGCAGCAGCAUGCCGGACGUCAGGCUGUGCCUGGAGGCCGUCUCUGCGCUCCUGGGCUGCAGAGCCGAAGCGACCACCGGAAGCUCCCAGUUCACCCCGCAGGAUCUAGUCAACGUCGUGGCCCUCAAAGAGUUUUACAAGCAGGAGGGCUUUAAAGAGCUGGAGUACCCCAGCUUGGGGACGCUGUCUCUGCACGAGUUAGACGAAGCCGACAUGUACAGCUCCCCCCCGGCCCUGGAGGCGCCUCCGGAGAGAUCCCAGCUCACUGUGGAAAUCAACACGGAGAACUUCUUCCAUCCUCAGUACGACUACGACUUCACCAACGUCAAGGAUGGAGAUAAGAAGUUCACGCGUGGUAACGAGCAGUACAUCCGCCCCUGCGGGUGGAACCGCGUUGCCCUGCGGGUCGUGCAGAAGUACAGCGACGGGGACAAGUGGCUGGGGACGGGGCGGGACGCCUGGCCCGUUUCCUACCAGGGGAAAAACAUGGACGGCUCCCUCAUCCUGACCCAUGGCGGCAAGCCCGACGACCAGCCACAGUUUCUGGACGCCGCCGCGGCGUCUUUGUUAACGGAGGGGACGAAGGGCCGGGGGGUGUACUCCACACCGGACAUCAGGAUCGCAGAGAAGUACUGCAAGAAGUUCAAGUCCGGAGUGGACGGGAAGACGUACCAGGUGGUCCUCCAGAACCGCAUAAACCCGGAAAAAAGGAAGUCGUGCCAGAGGCAAGGCGUCUGGGUUGUGUACAUCCCCGAGGACAGCAGCGACGUGAGGGUGAGGGCCCUCGUGCAGGAGUCCAUCCGCCCGUACGGGCUGCUGCUGAAGCAGGUGUGAUGCAGCUGUAACGACCUGCCGUCACUUCAGCUUCACGAUUUUCACAUUGUUAACAAAAAACUGAGAACAUGCUUCAAGUUCCCACGCGUGGGACUAAUAAAGGUAUCUUAUCUUAUCUUAUGCUUACUCCGGGCUCGUGGGAGGACGAGCUCCUGAAAGCUCUUUAUUGGGAGGGUGUGGGAACAAUAAGCCAGAGGUCACAGUAUCGUCUCUUUAUCCUCACAGUUUAAUAAAAAUACGACUGUCUGAUCAAACCUCUCUGAUCCGCGCUGCCUUUGAGUCUCCUCACAGCUCCGAAAAUUCCACCAAUCACAACGUUAGAUCCAAACCACCAAUAAAUAAUCCAUCAUAUCAAACACAGGAGGCGGGAAACGUGCAGCUAGGUUAGCGGCGUCCUGCCUCACGCUGGGAUCCUUUCGCUCGGUGUCAGGGUUGGAGAUAGUGAGGCCGGGUCAGAGGGGCAGACACCUGUCAGUCACAGGUGAGCGCACACGCCGGCUUUAAGAUUUUACUAAUUAAACUUCAUGUUGUUAUUUCAAUAAGACUUGAGACUAAUGAGCUCAGAAUAAAUUGCUUGCUGCGGUCUAAGAUACGAUAGAUCCUUUUGUCACUGUUACCAGUUUACGACACCAACUGUCUGCCAUCUAUAAUCCAGUUUUGAGUUCCCUCCCCAGACGCCUUAACGCCCACUCACAUCCUGGGCCAUCUGACCUCAGGAAAUCACAUGAUAGGGUGGGGCCAGAUUUCACAAUGAGCUCACCCGAAACCCUGGCUGAUUGUGACCCACACCCGCUUUCACACCUUAGCUCAGGUGAUUAGAGGAUCACCAGGGGGUCCUUUGUCCCUCUUUGGGGGGAAACUCCCACUGGGUUUAAAUCUGGGACUCUCGGCCAUUUGACCUUAGAACUGAAGAAGCUUCUCGGGUGAGAGGUGAAACGUCUUCAAGCAACUUAAAGAAGUCCAGACGCUUUUCUUUCCAAGCUGCUUUGACUGGUCCCAGCAUCGAUUGCAGGUUUCAUUUUUCGGACCUCAGAGCUACAUCCAGGUGUGUUUCCAGUGUAGGCUGAGGGUCGUCUGCAGAGACGCUGAAACUGCUGAUAAUGAGUGGCAUUAGUUUGAAUUCUCGUCCUGUUUUCCUUCCUGUCUGAUCAGCAGCACUGGAUCCACUCUUUUAUUUGAUGUGUCAGAGAUGGAGAUGAUUUUGCUUUAGUGUUGUUCUUAUUUCAUGUAUCUGAAAAUGUUGCUGUGAGGUGUGACGCCACAGGUCUGAUGUUUUUCAUGGCAUCAUUUUAAAUGUAAGAAUGGAAAUGAUAAAGAAUCACUUAUAUUUAGCUUGUUUGGGGUCUCCACGCUGCCAUCAGCUGUGAGAACAGAUGUUUUCCUUGUAUAUGUGAAUUUGAUUUGUUUGAAUGGAAUUAAACUGAGAGUGCACUCAUCUGUGUGUGAAGCCUCGUUUUAUGAUAUUUAUAAAUCUGAAAACCAGGGGUGUCAAACAUAAGGGCUGGGGGCCAGAAUCGGCCUGGCAAAGACGCCAGUCCGGAAACGUGAAGAAUGAUUAACUGAAUUUGAAUAAGUUUAACAGCUUUUCCUUUAAAUAAAGAGACCCGCACUCAUGCAUGGAUCCUUCCAGAACACAAAGGUCCUUCACAGUGUUUGUUUGAUUGAGCUGGUAAAACCUGUUCAUGCAGGACGCUGUCACCACGAUCACACACACCUGACCUACAGACCUGCCACACAUUGUUUCAGUUUUUAUUUUUAAGCUUCAGUUAAGUUUCAUUUUGCAGGAUUUGUUAUUAGCUUUCCAUCUGCAUCAUAAUCUGAACCACAGUGACGGUGUUAGCGUGAUAUUUAAAAACACUACAUUUGUGUCAGUACUGCAAACACCUGUGUAAGCAUCGUGUUUGUCAGUUGACUUCACAGACUCGUGUCCCGAGUUUAAUUUAACAAACAUACAAUAAACAAUAAACCUGUAAUAUUAAUAUACUCACCUUUGAACAUAGACAGGAAGUUAGACUCACGUCACAUUAUGAAUGAAGGCGCUUCAUUACCACACGCUGUUGAUAUGUUUGUUCAUUACCUGCAGAUUCAGUGUGAACGGUUUUAUGGGCAGAGUGCUGUAACUCCUGCCCACCACCAGAGGGCAGCGCAGCUCCAAGUAAAAGUACAACAAUCCCACCUGAACUUUCACCUCAGAUAAACUGAGCUUGACAAACGUGCCACAGCUGAGCUGAGGAAGCAUUACAGGAUACAUGAAACACACCUGACCACAGGUAGCAUCCAGCCACGCAGACGAAGCAGAGGGCGAGCAGCGCCGGGAGAAGGCAGAGCCCCAGACUCAAACACGGCUGCCUCAUCCGGUCUGUGGACGACCGCCCGGCACCUCCUGCAAACACACAAUCACACACACACCAUCAUUUAUUCCCUGAUCCUGCUUCUUUUCACAUCGUUGUGCCAACUGUAUAAACCCACACACCGUCUCACUGUGUGGGUUUGAAAGGUUUCACACUGAUUACAGGAAACUCAUAACUGGAGGAAAAAUGAGCUGUGGCGGUGCCAUGGGGGCGGAGACUCGUCUUUAAAGGUCAGCGGGAAAUCCUAAAAAGGCCUUGGUGGUAUUUCUCAGAACUUUAAAGUCCUCCUGGUGCUGUGAUAAAACAAACCACGAGUGACAGUCAGCUGAGCGCCCGGCUAUCAAGAGAAAAUACAUUAAAAUAUAUCAAACUAAAAACCAUUAAAUACAUAAAAACUAUCAGAUCAAUACAACAAAAAUAGAAUAUAAUAUGUAGUUUUAUUUCACAGUAUAUCCUGAUGUGACAUCUCAUUGCAGUUUCUUUCACACCUUUGUUCCAAUGACACAAACUCUUAUAAUAUUUAUGGAGAUAUUAAAGGUGUCAGCACGCACACGGAAACCUUCACGUGUUCAUGUUCAGCUGCUCGGCUGCAGACACGUGGACUCAUGGUGUGAAGAUUCAGGGGGGGUGACUCAAACCCUCGAUGCUGUCCUGCCUCUUCACCCCACUCGUUUUUCCACACGUGUGUGACGUGUAGCAUGUUUGUCACAAAAUGUCAGUUCAUGAGACGCAGAGAGCCCUGACCCCGGGGGCCCCGGGGGCCCUGAGGGGAACGCUGCCUCCGUUCUGCUGUGGGGGGCAGCUUGCUGUCCCAUCAGCUGAUAGACAACACAAAAAUCCUAAAACAGAAAUCCUACUGCUCCUCUGCAUCAAACAUCAAGUUUUCUUCUGAUCCACGCGCCAAAAAACUCCUUCAGUUUGUUCAGUUCAAGUAAAAUCGGUGCGUUCGUGGUCAGAAACAAGUCUGUGUUUUUGAACAUGUCAACAUUUCGACUUUUAGCCACAGGAACGGUCCCUAUGGGCAGAAAUCUGUGCCAUCAGAAACUGAAUUUGAAUAAGUUAAAUUUGAAUUUGAAUUACUCGGAUUGAAUCUGAAUUGUAACUUGAAUGAAAGCUUUUGAAAACUGAAUUUGAAUUAGUCUAAUUUGAAAUUGAAUUUAUGGUUUGAAAAUGAAUUGAUUUGCUUUGAAACUGCAUUUUAUCCUUUAAAAAUUCAGCUCUCGAAUAAUUUCAGAUUCACUUCUCACCAUUCAGUUUCAGUUCUACAAUUCAAUUUC
ensembl:lncRNA